GUGCAGAUGAUGGAAACUGUUUCCGGCUGAGCGAAGUGAUGUUUUCAAAGGAACCACUGAUGCAC